AACUUUCGACAACGGAUCUCUUGGUUCUGGCAUCGAUGAAGAACGCAGCGAAAUGCGAUAAGUAAUGCGAAUUGCAGAAUUCAGUGAGUCAUCGAAUUUUUGAACGCACAUUGCGCCCUGUGGUAUUCCGCAGGGCAUGCCUGUUCGAGCGUCAGUACAACACUCAAGCUCAGCUUGGUCUUGAGCCCAGCCGGUAAUACGGCAGGCUUUAAAAUCAGUGGCGGUGCCAUUAGGCUCUCAGCGUAGUAAUACUCCUCGCUCGUGGGUUCUAGUGGUUACUGGCCAGCAACCCCAACUUCUAAGUUUGACCUCGGAUCAGGUAGGGAUACCCGCUGAACUUAAGCAUAUCAAUAAGCGGAGGCU
rnacentral:misc_RNA from 1 species